GUCACUGCCGUUGUGUCCUUGGGCAAGACACUUUACCCACCUGCUCCCAGUGCCACCCACACUGGUUUAAAUGUAACUUAGAUAUUGGGUUUCACUAUGUAAAGCGCUUUGAGUCACUAGAGAAAAAGCGCUAUAUAAAUAUAAUUCACUUCACUAAAACAUUCACAUGUUGCACAAUGAGAUGUAAACAUGGGAUCAUGUGUACAUUCCUGUAAGUUUCUGUUUGUAAAAUAUAUCUUUAUUAUUAGUAUUUCUUUAAUAUAAUAACAUCAUUUCAUGAUUAAUAUUUACAAAUUAAGAUUAAAUUAAGAAUUGUAUAUAUAUUUUUCACUAAAGAAGGGUUCGGUGAAUGCGCAUAUGAAACUAGUGGGGUUCAGUACCUCCAACAAGGUUACGAACCACUGUUCUAAAACUUCUGACACAAAACCCAAGCCCUGACGGAAGCUGCUUAAUUGGACCAUUGCUGGAGCCUAUCCGGAUGGACCAUUGCUAUUCUAAAAAAAGGUAGUUUAGCUAUGAGCUAGUAGCAGCCAUUACAAUAUCAAUAAAUCUUCAGUUCCUACAUAAAGAAGGUGGGCGAGGGCAACAGUGUCUGUUACAAAGACUGCGCAAACUCUCCGUAACUACGGUCCUCAUUCGGAAGAAGACACGGCAUCAUGAUGCAUCGGAUUCAUUAGCGUCGUCAUUCGUUAGUAUCAAUAUUUAAUAUGUAACGAGUGUGUGUGUGCAAUCUAACUCCCGUAAUAAUCGAGAGAACCAUAGCUGCUAUUGUCAUAACCUGUGUUGCCAUUCACUCUGUUGGUCAGCUGUGCUCUUUUCCAGUGCCCAUGUAUGGUGUUGAUUACACUCCAGCAAUUAACCCUUUCAUAUCCCCUGCGGAAGUAAAACACCAGUUUUCCUAACCCUCACCACUCCAGUACGUGUUGCUGCUACUGUAGUUCUUUCCUGAGACCUUGUUUUGUGAGCUACUUCCUUGGGCCAUCUCUGCUAUCACAUUUGUUACCUACCAUCAGAGUCCUCCUGCUGGGGGUUCGGGAUUAAACGGCAGUUAUCAGGACCCGGUGGCAGCAGGUCAGGAAUGCCAUCGUUGUCGUCGUCUUCAUCACACUCGUCUCCCUUGCCGUCCUUGUCGGUGUCCAACUGGGAGCUGUUGAUGACGGCUGGGCAGUUGUCUCGAGAGUCUUGGUGACCGUCGCCAUCGCUGGUGGCGUACGCCAGGCCGAAACCAUAUGCCUGAGGCCCGGUGUAUCCUGAGGGACAGGAACCACAACGGAAGCCUGGGGAGGUGUUGAUGCACCGCACACCCCUGUAGCACG